GAACUGCGAUAAGUAAUGUGAAUUGCAGAAUUCAGUGAAUCAUCGAGUCUUUGAACGCACAUUGUGCCCCCUGGCAUUCCGGGGGGCAUGCCUGUCCGAGCGUCAUUGCUGCCCUUCAAGCCCGGCUUGUGUGUUGGGUCGUCGUCCCCCCCGGGGGACGGACCCGAAAGGCAGCGGCGGCACCGUGUCCGGUCCUCGAGCGUAUGGGGCUUUGUCACCCGCUCGAUUAGGACCGGCCGGGCGCCCGCCGGCGUCAAACCCCAAUCUUUCUAAGGUUGACCUCCGAUCAGGUAGGGAUACCAGCUGAACUUAAGC
rnacentral:misc_RNA from 1 species